AUGACCCGGAAUUUACACACUUGCAGUUGCAAAAUGAAAUUGACAUCAAGCAACAUAUUUACAUUCGCUGGCACGCUUUAUUCAGAGGCACCGCUUCUAUCAGCCUUCUGUAUUUUACACGAUCGUGGCGACCUAUUUUACACUCCCGCUCCUAUCCUUACAGGAGCGUCAGUGACGCGCGCGCUCGCGCGCCAGAAACGAAUCGGCUUAGCUUCCCCAUGGCGCGGCGUCCCGGGCGCCAUCGCCGCCCUCCCCGCCUUGCCGGGCCAGCAUGGCGGCGAGCGCGCGGGAGUGCGGCCACGCGGGGUUGCCGCGCGAGGCCGCCUCCCGGAACAUGGCCUCGGCGCGGGCCAGCGACGCGUCCGCGGUGUCCUCCACCAUGGUCCCCGGCACGUCGUGCUCGAGCCGGUCCUCGGCGCCGCCGUCCGUGGCGCGCGUCACGGGCUUCCUCGUGUCCGCGAACUCCACCUCGGCCAGCGGCGACGGCUUGUGCGUCCGGUAGUACUCCCGGUCCUCCUCCCGCACCUUCCUCGCCGCGGCCUCCUCGUCCCCGGGCGUCGCGUCGCCGAGCGGGUCGCUGCCGGCGGGCUUGGCGGACCACCGGCGCUUCUGCGUGAACGUCGACCCGGCCGCCGGGUCGGCCAGCUCCUGCGACCCGAGCUUCCCCGAGGGCGUGAACGGCGGGACGCGUUGCUCCUUGGCGGACGCCUCCGUCGGCCGCGUCGUCUUCGCCGACGACGGCGGGUGCUUGUCGUGGCCGCCCGAGGUGGCUUCCUCCGCGCCGGAGAACUUCGGGGGCCUCUCGGCGUAGUCGUCGCUCGGAGGGUCGCCGUAGUGGACGGCGGGAUCUCCCGCGCCGCUGGCUUGCGACGACGCGGACAGCGCGCGGCCGUGCGCGCCAAGCAGGCCGCGUCGGGUCGCUGGCGAGGUCGAGGCGAAGAGACGGAGUGCUCGUGCGGUGGCCAUCGUGCUCAUGUGCUUCUUGUCCUCCCCGUUCCGUUGGUCGUGGCGUCUGUACGUGCGGCGGUGGUUCUUUAUAAGGUGCAGGAUGGUCGCGUCUGGUGGCGUCGAGAGAGUUGCCGGAGCAUGCAGGAGGACGGGGGUGGGCGACGGUUCGACACGUGGUGA
rnacentral:rRNA from 1 species